UGAGAUUACACUGUAGCA
rnacentral:miRNA from 1 species